ACGAAAGAGAGAGCGUCCGGAGAACGCACGAAUUCUCUCAUCUGUUCUUAGCAUUUUCACGUAACUUUCGUUUUCUCUCAAACUCUCUUUUGUUAUCUCCAAACAGUAGCAUAUGUUCCUUAGAUUUCCUCUCCAUUCAUUUCAUUUUUUCUCAAAUUUCUCAACUCUAAAUCCAUUCGUAGCAUCCCUAAGAAGAUUAAGGACCUUAAAAGGAAGAAGAAUAUUACUAUUUAAAAUGGGUUUUGAAAGGAGGGGAAAGCAUGGUUUCAAUCAAGGUGGUAAUUCUUGGAUAAAUUGACAAAUUGAGGGUUUAUGGAAGAAACCCAAAUGCAGCAAAGAGGUAUUUAGCAUAUGGGAAUUGUAUUAAUGGAUCUUUUACUUGAAGUUUUGGGCAGCCAUCAAGUGAAGAUCAAGUGAAGAUAGGUAUACCUACUGGACACACAGACAGCAUGGCUGUAAAAUUGUUGGGUCAUGUAUAUGAGCAUAAUCACGUAGUUUUACCUUUUCUUUUUAUUAUAUAUUUUUAUGUGCAUAUUUGUGAAAGUAGCAAGAAUAAUAUUCUGAUUUGAAAAUUCAGCUAAUUGAAAAGAGUCUUGUAUUAUAUUCUAGGAUGAAGUAAUGGUGGAUUAAGGUUCGUUAUCAAAGAAAAAAAAAUUACAUUA